GUCCCUUCGGGGACAUCCGAUAAAAUUGAAACGACACAGAGAAUAUUAGCAUGACCCCUGCGCAAGGAUGACACGCACAAAUUGAGCCUCUAGUGUCCCUUUU